GCCGUAGCUCAAUGUUAGAGCAUCUGCUUCACUUGCAGAAGGUUUCACUUUCAAUCCCUGGCAUCUCCA